CCAAUUAUCCUAUGUAUUUCAUAUUACAUACAAAAAGGGGUAAACAGAGUAAGAUCUGAAAAAAUGGGCUCAUUUUGAUUAUAAGCUUGAGUCAAGUGCUAUAGAGUGUACAAUCCAUUCUUCCUAAUUAAAUUUACAUUCUUUCUCACAAUCUUUACAUGAUACUUAUAACCUAAAGUAACAUUUUUUGUCAAUAAAAGAAACAGAAAUGUAUAAACCUACACCUCAUCCCCCUCCAAAACGAGUUCAACAGUCGUAGAACA
rnacentral:lncRNA from 1 species